rnacentral:rRNA from 1 species
AUUGAACGCUGGCGGCAGGCCUAACACAUGCAAGUCGAACGAGUGGCGGACGGGUGAGUAAUGUCUGGGACACUGCCUGAUGGAGGGGGAUCACUACUGGAAACGGUAGCUAAUACCGCAUACCAUCGGAUGUGCCCAGAUGGGAUUAGCUAGUAGGUGGGGUAACGGCUCACCUAGGAGACGAUCCCUAGCUGGUCUGAGAGGAUGACAAGCCACACUGGAGAUGAGACACGGUCAAGACUCCUACGGGAGGCAGCAGAGGGGAAUAUUGCACAAUGGGGGCAAGCAUGAUGCAGCCAGGCCGCGGGUAUGAAGAAGGCCGUCGGGUUGUAAAGUACUUUCAGCGGGGAGGCGUUAGACGCAGAAGAAGCACCGGCUAACUCCGUGCCAGCAGCCGCGGUAAUAC